GACGAACGCUGGCGGCGUGCCUAAUACAUGCAAGUAGAACGCUGAAGAGAGGAGCUUGCUCUUCUUGGAUGAGUUGCGAACGGGUGAGUAACGCGUAGGUAACCUGCCUUGUAGCGGGGGAUAACUAUUGGAAACGAUAGCUAAUACCGCAUAACAAUGGAUGACACAUGUCAUUUAUUUGAAAGGGGCAAUUGCUCCACUACAAGAUGGACCUGCGUUGUAUUAGCUAGUAGGUGAGGUAACGGCUCACCUAGGCGACGAUACAUAGCCGACCUGAGAGGGUGAUCGGCCACACUGGGACUGAGACACGGCCCAGACUCCUACGGGAGGCAGCAGUAGGGAAUCUUCGGCAAUGGGGGCAACCCUGACCGAGCAACGCCCGCGUGAGUGAAAGAAAGGUUUUUCGGGAUCGUAAAAGCUCUGUUGUAAAGUCAAAGAAACGAAGUG
rnacentral:rRNA from 1 species